UUGGUCUAUUGGUUCAAAGCGCUCGACUCCCAAUCCAGUGACCCAGGUUCGAUUCCUGGA
rnacentral:tRNA from 1 species